rnacentral:rRNA from 1 species
AUUGAACGCUGGCGGCAUGCCUUACACAUGCAAGUCGAACGGUAACAGGUUAAGCUGACGAGUGGCGAACGGGUGAGUAAUGUAUCGGAACGUGCCCAGUCGUGGGGGAUAACUACUCGAAAGAGUGGCUAAUACCGCAUACGACCUGAGGGUGAAAGCGGGGGACCGUAAGGCCUCGCGCGAUUGGAGCGGUCGAUAUCAGAUUAGCCAGUUGGUGGGGUAAAAGCCCACCAAGGCGACGAUCUGUAGCUGGUCUGAGAGGACGACCAGCCACACUGGGACUGAGACACGGCCCAGACUCCUACGGGAGGCAGCAGUGGGGAAUUUUGGACAAUGGGCGAAAGCCUGAUCCAGCAAUGCCGCGUGCAGGAUGAAGGCCUUCGGGUUGUAAACUGCUUUUGUACGGAACGAAAAAGCUUCUCCUAAUACGAGAGGCCCAUGACGGUACCGUAAGAAUAAGCACCGGCUAACUACGUGCCAGCAGCCGCGGUAAUAC